UCACUGGUGGUCCAGUGGGUAAGACACUGCGCUAUCAACGCAGGGGGCCCAGGUUCGAUCCCUGGUCAGGGAA
rnacentral:tRNA from 1 species